rnacentral:snRNA from 1 species
UCUCUUGUGCUCGGGCAUGUCCUGUUGCUGGUGAGGUCUUUACCGAAGCACAAUCGUUACUGAUUGCAAAUUACACAUCCGAACCCGUCCUCCAGCUUCAGCUGGUUGCAAUUUUUGGAACCUCCGCCUUUGAG